UAAUGGGACCCCCCCCCCCCCUCUCAAGAAAAACUAAAAGCCCACUGAUGGUGGCUGAUAACCCAGAAAAAGACUUUAUGGCUUUGAACUAGUUAAACAGUGACAUUGAGAUAGACACACAAAUAGAGUGAAUAGGAUUCAACAGUUCACAGAAUUUGUGUCAUUCUAGUUCAAUAAAGAUUACGAUUGUAGCCUCCACCAUGACAUUGUGUUAAGAAAAUAUAUUCAUGAAGAUUACAAUCAUAUUUAAAGUAUUGAAAACUAAUUUGAAUUCAAGUAAUUAGGUGAAAAUGAAAACAAUGGUACUAUAAAUAAAACAUUUUCUCUUCGGAGAAAAAAAAAGUCUUAUGUUAAAAAAAAAAAUGAAUCUGCCUAAUCUGCAUAGAACCAGUGUUGAAGUCCUUAUAGUUGUAAUUAAAAGUAUGUAACAGAAUUUUAAAGAUUCUCUAGUUUACUGUUUUAUCAAAACAAAAACAAAAAACUACAUUAUACUUUUGUCUAAAAAAUGUUUCUUAAAACUAGCGAUCAGUUACCCAAGUUCAAUGUCGAUCAAGGGAGUCAUCAUAACACACACACUGACAAACACACAGUUCAAUAUCAAUCUAAGGAGUCAU